ACCUACUCUAAAGCUCAGGAAAAUCCACUCAAUAGUUUGUAAUAACUUAUAUGGGAAAAAAGAAUGGCUAUAUGUAUGACAGAUUCACUUUGCUGUACACCUGAAACUAAUACAACAUUGUGAGUCAACUAUACUCGGAUAAAGUACAUUUAAUAACAUAGGAAGAAGGAACGUCACAGGAAAAACAAGAAAAACAAAUAAAUUAUUAUUGCAAUAAAUGAUGCUGCUGGUAAGUGCCAUCCCAAGUGGUUGGUGGGAAGGUAAGUUUCACUGGUUAUCUUCAGCCCCUGAAUUACAAUGGGGGCCAUUCUAGAAAUCAGGUUAGAGAAAUGGAAACAGGUGUUAAAGGUAAAACCUGCAAGUCCCACCACCUGAGAAUGAUAGUUUCAAGGGUCAGCUGACGAGGGCUGGGGCCACAGCCUAGACUGGAGGUCUUCAGUCAGAGCUGCCGAUCAGGCUUUUCCAGAAGCACGGAGUGACAUUUUGUCUUCAGGAACAGACAUAAUCUGCCAUGUCUCCAUUCACCUUGAAUGAUUGGAAUGUCGGAUCCUGUGGAAGUUGUUGAAAACCAAAGGUGGAACAGCUGGAGCGUUCUAGUACCAAGUGCCCAAGAAUACAUGGGUGCUGGCUGAUUUUCUAGCACAUCCCUUUCAAGUUUAAGAUCCUGUGACUCUCUAUUAUGAUUUAAGAAAGAAGCAAACAAAGAUGGGAGUCUUAAAGCCUCUAAGGCAUGACUUUCAGCUUAAGAUAGAGUAGUGACUACCCUUAGAGAGACUCACUACUCAAAACGCAGCCCUUAGACCCACAGCAUUGGUAUCGGCGAGGGGCCCACGAGAAAUGCAUCAUCCCUGGUCGAACCCCAGAACUUCUGAAUCAGAAUCUGCCGUUUAUCAAGAUGCUCAGGUGAUCUGUCUGCACACAAAGUCUGAGAAGCACUGCUUUAAAAAUAAACUACUUGGCAUGAGCUAAAACUUAUAUAACUAGUUUGAGACUAGUAAUCAGGUUAGGAACCACCUAGCAACUGGUAAUCUUUAAGUGUUUCCCACCUGUUUAGCCACAGCACUGGGGAAAACACAUAAUCACAACCCUUCAACCUGAAGAGGACCUACAUCCUGAGAUACACAUUUGUCAAAUACUGAAAAGGGAAACUGGGACUUUUCAGGGAAAAUGAAGGCUCUUCUAGGACAGCUGGAUUAUUAAUUUAAAAGGUGGGGCAGGGGGAGGACAAGGAAGAAAAAAAAUCCUAACAGGAGCUUUUCUUCACAUAUGUGAUACUGCCAAAGACUUGGUUCCAAAAACCCAAAGCAGGGCAGCAAGUGCCACAUGACAAAGUGGCAGCUGGGGAGAGGAGGGUGAUGAAAUACUUCCCGGAGGUGUAAUUUAGGCCAGGGUGGCUAUCAAGUGCUGAGGAGGAAAGGAGGAGAUGGUAGUGUUUAUGCUUUUCCCAUCAGUCUAUCAGUCAGCAACCCAGGACAAAAAGAAAAGAUAGGGUCAGCGCACAGGAAAGAUUCAAUACUAGACUUAAUUGAAAUGAUAGGAGAAAAGUCUCACAUCUUUUGAAAUUGAAAGCGCAAAUGUUUUACUGGCAACGGUAUUCUCAGGGAAUAUUUCUUUUGCUUUGGCUGAAAAUAUUGUAGCUGCUUUGAGAUGCAAAAGUCUACCUGGAAAACCCGAUAGAUACUUAAACAGUGCCUAGGAGGAAAUGAGAGCUACAAAUUUACAGGAGGAGCUUGGUAUUAAUUUGCAGCAGAAACUGAAGCAUGAAAAUAAUUCAAGUAAACCUUGGCAAUCCUGGAGCGUGAAGAAAACCAAUGUAAUUGUGACCGGGCCACUCAGAGACACUGCUAGGCCUGUUUUCACUGGAGAGGAAAGGUCACUAUAACCAUCCCUUACAAUAUCAGCAUUCACAUGACUCCAGGACAUUUUGCAGCAAAACAAUACAACUGCCCUCAUGGGUAAUCAUAUUUUCCCUUGAAACACUAUAGCAAGGCUGAAAAGUCACCCUUAUUGAGCAUCUACUGUUUUACCCAUGUCAUUUUAUAACAUCAUCAUAGUCCUGAGUGAGGUGACACUGUCCCCAUUUUACAGAUGAGCAAAGUGAGGUCCAAAGAAGUAUGUCACUCAUGUCAUUUAGUUAAUAAAAAGCCAGAAUGCCACCAGACAAAAUUAAAAAGCUCCACACUUGAUUUACAAAAGUUUCUCAACAAAGACAGCUUAGAAGGGAUCAGAGUGGGGGACUGUUAUGUUUUGAAUAAGAGGAAAGACUGGGGAGUUCCCAUUGUGGCUCAGUGGGUUAAGAACCGACUAGGAUCCAUGAGGAUGCAGGUUCAACCCCUGGCUCCUCUCAAUGGGUCAGGGAUCUGGCUUUGCCAUGAGCUGUGGUAUAGGUUGCAGACAUGGCUUGAAUCCUGUGUUGCUGUGCCUGUGGCAUAGGCCGGCAGCUGCAGCUCUGAUUUGACCCCUAGCCUAGGAAUUUCCAUAUGCUGUGGGUUCAGCCUUAAAAAAAAACAAAAAAACAAAAAAAACUGGUUUCUCUUGACAUCAGUGAAGGUAAGUGAGGUUUCUUCUAGUACCCACCAUAUCUUUACACGGCUGGAAUCCUCUUAUCACCCAUUUCUGGAUGUAUAUUAGGUUUCAGAUGUAUUUCAAACCCAGAUAGCUGUAAUUUUUUGGCUAUGUUGGAGGGUUUAGAAGACUUGGCAUGUUUCAGGCAGUGUUAUGUAAUAGAUACAAGCUCUAGGCUGGUCCUUGGACACUUGGGUUCAAUUCUGGCUGUGUCCCUUAUUAUUUAAGAGAAUGGGUAAGUUACAUUGCUUCUUGGGGUGGCAGUUUUUUUUUUUUUAACCUACGUGAGGCUGGAUUAAGUAUCCUUAAGAAUCUUUCUGGGUCCAUGAUGCAACUGUUUAAGAUAGUGCCUUCCAUCAAAAUACACUAGGAAUGACCUGAAGAGUUAACAAAUUUGUCCAGGCAAGACUGCUGUGUGGUUCCAGAGGUACCAAAUCAAAAAUGAAACAAACCCAAAUACACAAAACCCACAUGAAUAAUUACUUACUUCCUAUACUCUACCAUCUGCAAAAGUAACCUGGAAUUUAAUGUUUAGAAAUGAAAUGCUCCCCCCCCAAAUAUAUAUUCAAGUUCUUAGGCAGAUCUGGGUAUAAAUCCAAGCUCUUCCUCCAAUCAAUUCUUUGACUUAACAUAUCUGAGUUUCCUUUUUGCUUCUAUAAAAUUGUGACUAAUAACAAAUAUU